CAUGAGUAGAUUUAUGAACGAUCAUAUUGAGGAAAAUGGUGUGAACGUAAUACCUAGAGCAUUUAAUUACUUAUGAUGGAAUCUGCUUUUUUCUCAAAAUCUCCAUCUCCAACGGAUUGUUUAAGUUACUUUUUCACCGAAAUCUUCAAUCUGACACAGUUACAUAUUUAAGCCUCAUUGCUUAGCAAGGUUUGACAAACUAAACAAGGAAUACCAAAACCACUAAACAAAUUGUUUCUUAAGUUUUUUAUUACAAUUAAAGAUUCACUUGAUCAUAUUCAAUCAGUUAUUUCACUUUGUUUACCAUUAUUUAUUAUCUUUUAGGUGUGAUUGUGGUUUGGACAUAGUAAAAUACAUAGAAUGCUUGAGUAUUGACGGUCUAGUAGAACAAGUUAAUGGCUUCUAUGUAAAUAGAUUGGGGGAGAAAAUGACUACUGAUACUUUUGCACGUUCUUGUUAUUUCAUCAAUAUCAAUUUGUGUUACUUGGUUUUCCAUAACUUUCUAUUUUGUAUCCAUUGAUUGAAAUAUUUGUUUUCUAAUCUGGCUUUUUCUAUUAAGUUUCUUUUUCUAUUACACCGUCAACUUAUUUUCUAAUCUGGCUUUUUCUCUAUAAAUCUUGUAGAAAGUUCUAUAAAUAUAAAGGCUUUAAUAAAGUGGAAGAGGUUUGAAAUGACAAAGAAGACAAUUUGAAGCUGUGGGACAAGGUGAAAACUCUAGAACCUUUGCAGCCAUAUGCAAAACCAAGAAGCUCAUUUCCUGGUUUUUAUUGUCGAGAAAGAUCUUGAUUCACAAAGGUAUGGAAAGAUCGUGAUUCAUAAAGGUGUGCAAAAACCAUCGUAGAUCAAGAUUCAUGAGGAGCAAUGAUCGUGAUUCUUUGCCUUCAAAAUUCUCUAUAAAGUUUGAAGAAUUUGCUAAAGGUUACACAGAAAAAGUUGGACGAUUUUGCCCCUGGUGCUACGCCGACUGCAAUUGAACAGCAAGCUCGUUUUUCUCCACUCUACGAACUCAGAUAGGUCCGCUCUGGCUGUGUUCGACUUGAAAAGUGCAAACCAAGAGAUUAAGAGCGACUUGAAAGAUCUCUCAAUGUCAACUCUGCCACAUUAUUGUGCAGAUGAAGGCUGGAGAUGCUGCCAAGGCUGACAAGAAGAAAUAAGUUUAUUUAAUUGGUUCUCUCUGGUUUUUGGUUUUACCUUUUCUUUUAUUAAAUACAUGUAAAUUUUAUUAGUAAUUGUUAUUUAUGCAAUUACAAUUAUCAUUUUGUAGAUACUAUUGAAUGUUUCUUGUUAAUUUCUUUAUUUUUUUUAUUUU